rnacentral:rRNA from 1 species
AUUGAACGCUGGCGGCAUGCCUUACACAUGCAAGUCGAACGGCAGCACGGGGCAACCUGGUGGCGAGUGGCGAACGGGUGAGUAAUGCAUCGGAACGUACCUUUCAGUGGGGGAUAACGUAGCGAAAGUUACGCUAAUACCGCAUAUUCUGUGAGCAGGAAAGCAGGGGAUCGCAAGACCUUGCGCUGAUUGAGCGGCGGAGGUCAGAUUAGCCAGUUGGUGAGGUAAAGGCUCACCAAGGCGACGAUCUGUAGCGGGUCUGAGAGGAUGAUCCGCCACACUGGAACGGAGACACGGUCCAGACUCCUACGGGAGGCAGCAGUGGGGAAUUUUGGACAAUGGGGGCAACCCUGAUACAGCCAUGCCGCGUGAGUGAAGAAGGCCUUCGGGUUGUAAAGCUCUUUCGGCCGGGAAGAAAUCGCACGGGCUAAUACCCUGUGUGGAUGACGGUACCGGAAUAAGAAGCACCGGCUAACUACGUGCCAGCCGCCGCCGUAACAC